GACGAACGCUGGCGGCGUGCUUAACACAUGCAAGUCGAACGGAAAGGCCCUGCUUUUGUGGGGUUCUCGAGUGGCGAACGGGUGAGUAACACGUGAGUAACCUGCCCUUGACUUUGGGAUAACUUCAGGAAACUGGGGCUAAUACCGGAUAUGAGCUCCUGCUGCAUGGUGGGGGUUGGAAAGUUUCGGCGGUUGGGGAUGUACUCGCGGCUUAUCAGCUUGUUGGUGGGGUAGUGGCUUACCAAGGCUUUGACGGGUAGCCGGCCUGAGAGGGUGACCGGCCACAUUGGGACUGAGAUACGGCCCAGACUCCUACGGGAGGCAGCAGUGGGGAAUAUUGCACAAUGGGCGGAAGCCUGAUGCAGCAACGCCGCGUGCGGGAUGACGGCCUUCGGGUUGUAAACCGCUUUCGCCUGUGACGAAGCGUGAGUGACGGUAAUGGGUAAAGAAGCACCGGCUAACUACGUG
rnacentral:rRNA from 1 species